AACGAACGCUGGCGGCAUGCCUAACACAUGCAAGUCGAACGAAGCCUUCGGGCUUAGUGGCGCACGGGUGCGUAACGCGUGGGAAUCUGCCCUUGGGUUCGGGAUAACAGUUAGAAAUGACUGCUAAUACCGGAUGAUGUCUUCGGACCAAAGAUUUAUCGCCCAAGGAUGAGCCCGCGUAGGAUUAGGUAGUUGGUGGGGUAAUGGCCCACCAAGCCGACGAUCCUUAGCUGGUCCGAGAGGAAGAUCAGCCACACUGGGACUGAGACACGGCCCAGACUCCUACGGGAGGCAGCAGUGGGGAAUAUUGGACAAUGGGCGAAAGCCUGAUCCAGCAAUGCCGCGUGAGUGAUGAAGGCCUUAGGGUUGUAAAGCUCUUUUACCAGGGAUGAUAAUGACAGUACCUGGAGAAUAAGCUCCGGCUAACUCCGUGCCAGCCGCCGCGGUAACAC
rnacentral:rRNA from 1 species